CAGAUCCUCUCCCUCAUAGCCUGCACACCGGGAUGACCAUGGCAGACAGUUACUUAGUAACAUUAUCUAGCAAAUACUAAGACCUCCUCCAAGAAGAUACAGAUGUUAAAGAGAUGUCGUUUGAAGUCUACAGCCACCUAUAAGGUCACCGUGGAACAUGAAGAAAGCCUCACACCUAUAGC